UCGUUUGAGAAGUUUAGGAAAUUGUUUUAUCAAAUUGGUAGUUAUCAUUUUCAAUAAAAUUGACUUAAAAUAAACAGAAAACCGGGUCGGACCAUAACCUUUUCAAUUACCCCCAAAUUGGGUAACGAAAUCUUAAAAUCGGCACGAAGUCCUAGCUGCUCUUAAUUUUAAUAAAAUUUCCUAAAACAGAGUUAUUUUAAAAAUAACGAUUCUUAAGCAAAUAGCAAUAUUAGUCUUUAAAAUAAACAGAAUACUGGGUCGGACCAUAACCUUUUCAAUUACCCCCAAAUUGGGUAACGAAAUCUUAAAAUCGGCACGGAACCCUAACUGUUCUUAUUGGACAUCUAAUAACUGGUUCACCCCCAACGUCUGGAACAUGUAAAUCAUGCACAACCUGACCUGCGAUAUCUCUUGCAGCUGGCUGAGUGGCUGAGUCGUAUCAGGAUCUCAAUUCACGGCUGCCCUGGUGGCCUCAUUUUUGCCAAAUCCCGCGACAUGUUUUUUCUUCAAAUUCCAUCAAAACCCAAGAUCUACCCAAGACUCGGAUUUUCAACUGAGUUAUGAACAAGAUCAACGUCUUCUCUUUUAUUAUAAUCGUCAAUCACUUUGAAAUUUGAAAAAUAAAUGAAAAGAAAGUUACAAAUUUACAAUAAAUGUAAAUAUUUAUUU
rnacentral:lncRNA from 1 species